GUGGGGAAUAUUGGACAAUGGGGGCAACCCUGAUCCAGCCAUGCCGCGUGCGGGAAGAAGGCCUUCGGGUUGUAAACCGCUUUUGUCAGGGAAGAAAUCCUUUGGGUUAAUACCUCGGAGGGAUGACGGUACCUGAAGAAUAAGCACCGGCUAACUACGUGCCAGCAGCCGCGGUAAUACGUAGGGUGCAAGCGUUAAUCGGAAUUACUGGGCGUAAAGCGUGCGCAGGCGGUUAUAUAAGACAGAUGUGAAAUCCCCGGGCUCAACCUGGGAACUGCAUUUGUGACUGUAUAGCUAGAGUACGGUAGAGGGGGAUGGAAUUCCGCGUGUAGCAGUGAAAUGCGUAGAUAUGCGGAGGAACACCGAUGGCGAAGGCAAUCCCCUGGACCUGUACUGACGCUCAUGCACGAAAGCGUGGGGAGCAAACAGGAUUAGAAACCCCUGUAGUCC
rnacentral:rRNA from 1 species